UGGUGUUUCCAUUUCAGAGUGUCGCAACGUCCAGUCGCAACGUCGCCGCGGCGCGCGUGUCUUUUUUUUCCAGUGUGUACGUUUUGAUUGCAAAAAGAAGAGGCAAGCAUAGGCACAAGCUCUGCUAAAAUCAGAAAAACAUUUUUCAUCUGUGGCCAGUGGAAAAGUGCCUCAAGAAAAUGAAUAUAGAUAAAUUGUGUUAAUCGCCCCAUCUCGAGCCAGCAAAUAUUUACUGUAUAUUCCAUUGUAUAUUUGUUGUUGCUGUUGCUUUCUUCCGUUGAAAUAUUCAUUUUGUUUUCAUUUAUUUUGUUUUUUUUUUUUUUUAAUUGUGCAGCUGCCCGCCUGUAAAUGAUAAAAAAUGUCAUAGAUAAGAAGAAGAACAACAACAGACGUGUGCUCCUCCCCUGAACAGCGCCGGACGCCAGAGUCGCCUCCACACCACAUCAUCCACAGCCAUGACCGGCGUCGGUAAUCGAUGAUUCCCAUUGCCAUUGAAAGACAUAGCGUGGGAGACAGAGACAGCGUUAAAGAUAAAGUGAGAGAAGGAUAGAGAUUGAUUGGGAAGACAAAUACCGUUAGCUGGAGGAGACAUUUCUGAAACACUGAAAGAAAAUAAGAACUCAAAAUGCUGAUCAAGGAGUACCGCAUACCACUGCCCCUCACCGUGGAGGAGUAUCGCAUCGCUCAGCUCUAUAUGAUAGCGAAAAAAAGUCGAGAGGAGAGUCAUGGCGAGGGCAGUGGCGUCGAAAUUAUCAUCAAUGAGCCGUACAAGGAUGGACCUGGAGGCAACGGGCAGUACACCAAGAAGAUAUACCAUGUCGGCAAUCAUCUACCCGGCUGGAUCAAGAGUCUUCUGCCCAAGAGCGCUCUUACCGUGGAGGAGGAGGCAUGGAAUGCCUAUCCCUAUACCAGGACACGCUACACUUGCCCCUUUGUGGAGAAGUUCUCGCUGGACAUUGAGACGUACUAUUAUCCGGACAAUGGCUAUCAGGAGAAUGUCUUCCAGUUAUCCGGCAGCGAUCUACGGAAUCGUAUCGUGGAUGUCAUUGAUAUCGUCAAGGAUCAGCUAUGGGGUGGCGAUUAUGUCAAGGAGGAGGAUCCCAAACAUUUCGUUUCGGACAAGACGGGGCGGGGACCCCUUGGCGAGGACUGGCUGGAGGAGUAUUGGCGGGAGGUGAAGGGCAAGAAACAGCCGACUCCCCGCAACAUGUCCCUGAUGACCGCCUACAAGAUCUGCCGGGUGGAGUUCCGCUACUGGGGCAUGCAGACCAAGCUGGAGAAGUUCAUCCAUGAUGUGGCGUUGCGCAAAAUGAUGCUACGGGCCCAUCGUCAGGCCUGGGCCUGGCAGGACGAAUGGCACGGCCUCACCAUCGAGGACAUUCGGGAGCUGGAGCGUCAGACCCAGCUGGCACUGGCCAAGAAGAUGGGCGGUGGCGAGGAGUGCAGCGACGAUAGCGUUUCGGAGCCGUAUGUUAGCACGGCCACCUCCGCCGUGGCCACCUCGUCCGGCCCUGCAGGAAGCGAGCGAAAGAAGUCCGCUCCGGCCAUACCGCCGAUUGUCACCCAACAGCCGCCCAGCGCCGAGGCCAGCUCGGACGAGGAGGAGGGCGAGGAGGAGGACGAAGACGAGGACGAGAACGAUGCCAUUGGCACUGGUGUGGAUCUAUCCGCCGCCCAGAGCAGCUCCUCCGCCCAGCGAUCUCGCUCCCAGAGCAUCCAAAUGGCCAACAAGGCCAAGUUUGGGUCAAAGGGUGCCCUCCACUCUCCAGUGGGUUCGGCCCAUAGCUUUGAUCUUCAGUCCAAAAAGCCGCAUGCCAAGACAGUGCCACGCAGACAUGUGGCUAACUGGCGCAUGGAGCGUUUGGAAGUGGACUCCAAGUCCAACUCUGAGGAGGAAUUCUUCGAUUGUUUGGACACCAACGAGACCAACUCCCUGGCCAAGUGGAGCUCUCUGGAGCUGUUGGGCGAGGGCGAUGAUAGUCCGCCGCCCCAUGGAGGUCCUUCCAGUGCCGGAUCUGGGGAGGGACGUGGAAACUCACGGCAGGAGGACAGCAUUUUCAACCAGGACUUCCUGAUGCGAGUAGCCUCGGAGCGGGGCAACAAACGCCAGUUGCGCUCCUCGGCCAGUGUGGAUCGCAGUCAUGAUUCAUCGCCGCCCGGCUCUCCCAGCACACCGUCGUGUCCCACUACUAUUCUGAUCCUGGUGGUCCAUGCCGGAUCCGUGCUGGACGCGGCCAGCGAGCUGACGGCCAAGAAAUCGGACGUUACCACCUUCCGCGGCAGCUUUGAGGCGGUGAUGCGGCAGCACUACCCCAGCCUGCUCACCCAUGUGACCAUUAAGAUGGUGCCAUGCCCCUCGAUCUGCACCGACGCCCUCGGCAUCCUCUCCAGCCUCAGUCCGUACUCCUUUGACGCUUCGCCCUCGGCGGCGGAUAUACCGAAUAUAGCCGAUGUGCCGAUCGGAGCGAUACCCCUGCUGUCGGUGGCCUCGCCGGAAUUCCACGAGACGGUCAACAAGACGGUGGCAGCGGCUAACAUAGUCUACCACGAAUUCCUCAAGUCGGAGGAGGGCCACGGAUUCUCCGGCCAGAUCGUGAUGCUGGGCGAUUCCAUGGGCUCUUUGUUGGCCUACGAGGCUCUGUGCCGGUCCAACGGCAGCCAGCCGGGCACGGCAUCUAACUCUGGCGGCGAUGCCUCCAGUUCCACCAACAUAAAUCCCCACAAUCCCCUCUCCGCUCGCCACUCCCGAUUGGAUGACGAGGAGCGCUUCAUAGAGGCCGACCUGGAUGCGAAGCGAUUGCUGGUGGCCCCAUCGCCUCGCCGGCGUCGUUCCAGCUCCUCCAGCGACUCCAGAGCCACCAAGCUGGACUUUGAUGUGUGCGACUUCUUUAUGUUCGGCUCCCCGCUGUCCGUCGUCCUCGCGGCCCGGAAGCUGCACGACUCCAAGGCCGCCCUGUCGCGUCCCAACUGCCACCAGGUCUACAAUCUCUUCCAUCCAACCGAUCCGAUAGCCUCACGCCUGGAGCCGCUCCUCAGCGCCAGGUUCUCUAUCCUGGCGCCGGUGAAUGUGCCACGCUACGCCAAGUAUCCUUUGGGCAAUGGCCAGCCACUGCAUUUAUUGGAGGUGAUUCAGUCGCAUCCGCAGCACUUCAACGAUGGCAACAACCUCCUGGCUGGAAGGCGACUAUCCGAUGCCUCCAUGCAGAGCACGAUAUCGGGUCUGAUUGAGAAUGUCUCCCUAAGCACUAUCCACUCCCUUCAAAACAAGUGGUGGGGCACCAAGCGUUUGGAUUAUGCCCUUUACUGCCCCGAGGGACUGAGCAACUUCCCGGCCCACGCCUUGCCGCAUCUCUUCCACGCCAGCUACUGGGAGAGCCCGGACGUGAUCGCCUUCAUACUGCGCCAGAUUGGCAAAUUCGAGGGCAUACCGUUUGUGGGCUCCAACGAUGACAAGGACAACGCCGCCUUCCAUCCGGGCCAGCCGCGCGAGAAGUGGAUCAAGAAGCGAACCUCCGUGAAGCUGAAAAAUGUGGCCGCCAAUCAUCGGGCCAACGAUGUGAUCGUCCAGGAGGGCAGAGAGCAACGGCUGAAUGCCAGGUUCAUGUAUGGGCCGCUGGACAUGAUCACCCUCCAUGGGGAGAAGGUGGACGUGCACAUCAUGAAGGAUCCGCCGGCAGGCGAAUGGACUUUCCUCAGCACCGAGGUGACCGACAAGAACGGUCGCAUAUCCUAUUCCAUUCCGGAUCAGGUCUCCCUCGGCUAUGGCAUCUAUCCGGUUAAGAUGGUGGUCCGUGGCGACCAUACCUCGGUGGACUGCUACAUGGCGGUGGUGCCGCCAUUAACCGAAUGUGUGGUCUUCAGCAUCGAUGGGUCCUUCACCGCGUCCAUGUCGGUGACGGGCCGGGAUCCCAAGGUGCGGGCCGGUGCCGUGGACGUCUGCCGGCACUGGCAGGAGCUGGGCUACCUGCUCAUCUACAUCACCGGACGGCCGGACAUGCAGCAGCAGCGUGUCGUCUCCUGGCUGAGCCAGCACAACUUCCCCCACGGCCUGAUCUCGUUUGCCGACGGCCUGUCCACCGAUCCGCUGGGCCACAAGACGGCCUAUCUCAACAAUCUGGUCCAGAACCAUGGAAUCUCAAUCACAGCCGCCUACGGCAGCAGCAAGGAUAUUAGUGUCUAUACGAAUGUUGGCAUGCGACCGGAUCAGAUAUUUAUUGUGGGCAAGGUAAGCAAGAAGCUCCAGUCCAAUGCCACUGUGCUCAGUGACGGCUAUGCCGCCCACCUGGCCGGUUUGCAGGCCGUGGGCGGUUCCCGUCCGGCCAAGGGCAAUGCCCGGAUGGUGAUACCACGAGGCUGCUUCAAUCUUCCCGGCCAGACGGCCAAUCCGCGACGCCGAAGCAACGAGACGGGACUGUCAUCGCCGAUAAGGAGUGGUUAUCUAAAGCGCAAGACCUACCUGAGCCAUCACUAGAGCGGAUAACUAGAUAAACUAGAUCGAUUCAUCCCGAAAUACAGCCCUGAAAAAUAGUCAAAUAUCGCUGCAUUCCCUACAAUCUAGAAAACAGAAUAUUAACAAAAAAAAAAUGAGUAAACAGUUACCCCAAAAAAAAAAAGGACAACAGCAUCGAUGUCUCCAUACGCCACAUCUGUAUAUAUAUUACACAUAUAUAUAUAUUUAUAUACUAUGCCCGAUAUAUUGACAAUUCAAUGGUGUAAUAUAAAAUGAUCAAAACUUAAAAUUGAAAAGAGAAUAAAAUACAAUUGUACAACAUUUAACCAAAAGUCAAAUGUGUCACGCGGUACCUGGAAAGAAAGACUGUUUCCUCCUGUUGUUUGAUGGUUUUCCAAACCACUUAAAGCAUAAACCAAAAACUAAAGAACAAACGCCGAUCUUAAAGCUAUAUACUAAAUACAAUUAAACAAAAAAAAAUUAAGAAAAGAUAUAUAUACAAGAUGAUAUAUUAAAAAUAUAGGACCGUUUUACAUAUGCAAGCGAACAAAGUUCAACAAACCAAGCAAAACAAUUGAAGGACAACCAACAUACGAAGAAAAUCGAACCGAUGAUCUCAACAGGAUUCUAAACUGAUCAAAAUCUCGAUAUAUAUCGAGUGGAGUUAUCGAUCAAAAAUCGGCGAAGGAGUAUAGGAGGAGCGUUGCAAAAUCAAAUGGCAAAAUCCAAUGCAUUUCUUGACAUAAACGUAGAAAAAGAACAAAAAGGUUAAAAAUUAUUGGCUUCCGAUAGUAAACUAUGGGGGUUUUUCUAUAUUCGUGAAGCAGAUUAGUUGAAAAAAAAAAAUAAAUAAUGAAAAUGUCAUGAAAUGAAUGUGAAAACAAUCUGAAAACCUGGCCCCAGAAACUUUGAAAUCUCCAUAAUUGUGAUAGUUUUUCGUUACCAAAAAUAAAAAAACAAAGUAAAUAAAUAAAUCUAAAAAAAAAAUGUAAGGAACACAGGCAGAAAUACUAAACCUCUAUAUAUGUCUACUAAAAAAAAAAUUGUUAUUCGGAAAUGAAAGUAAAUUCGAGAAAAUUGCUUAUUUUGCGCUGUUACGAGUAUGAUAUAGAUGAUAUUGAUAUUGUGUUAACAUAAAACCCGAUUUUGUGAUACCAAAGACAUAAUGAAACCAAAAACCGAAUACCAAAACGAGAUCAAGCAUUCACUUCCGAGAAUUAAAAAACAAAAAAAAAACAAACUCGAACGACUUAAGGCUACCUGAUGUAACGGGCAUUGAAUAUACUAUAUAUGAACCCGAUAUAGAACUAUAUAUACACCACACUAUGUACGCAUAACCCAGUUAUGUGCUGUCCACAUAAGUUAACUUACAAAGCUCCCAUUCUAAAAAUUCUAAACGAAAUUGAAAUUCUAAAAAAAAAAAUGGGAGCCCUGCGGGUAAAAAAAAAUAAUAACAGAGAAAGUACAUUAUAUAUUGAGUCAUAGAUAAGCCCAAAAGUUGAUUCUACUCUCUAGUAGUUGAGUUGAGAGGUUAGCAUACUUCCUAAAAAUCGAAACAGUUUGAUUGUAUAUUGUAUAUAAGGAUAAAUAUCCAUACUAUAUACCAUUUAGUGUAUGUUUAUAUGGCGCAACUAUACGUUAUCUUGAACGAGUUCCUCUACUUUCUGCUUGGGUUUUAUCCUCUGUUUGUAUGUCAUAGAUGUCGAUGGAUCUCUAGAGAGUUUAUCCUAUAUAGUUAAUAGGCAAAAAGAUGGUUAUAGGCAAAAGGUAAUUCCUAAUAAGUAUACACCAGAUGAUACUCAUAGAGUCGAGGAUUUAAUAUCUGUGUAUUAAGACGAUUAACGAUUCAAGUUUCCUCUCUGAUCUUAUGAAGUCUGAACUUUUGUUCUUUGAAAUUGCCAAUUCCUGUAGACGAGUUUCAUACAAUCCUGCAAAUCUUUGAUCGAAAUUCUAUACUUCUAUAUAUCCCUCCACUGUCUCUGUCUCCCCUUCCCCACCAGAUGAUCUAAAAAUCGAAAAUAAAAACCAACUCCCUCAGCCAAUAAGAAAUGCGAAAUUAAAUAGAUAUUUUGUGAAAACCCACCAUUUAGAAAUUAAGCCGAAAAACCCCUGGCCCAUAUUAACGAAGAAUCGGGCCUACACCCUGAUGUGUAUAUAUAUAUACAUAUAUAUAUAGAGAAGGAAACAAAUAACGGUUUAACAUACUAAAAGCAAUUGUUACGCACUUGUGCGUAUACUUACUUUUAAGAGCAACACAGUCCAGGAUAACAAACUCGAAUUCAUAAUAUUAAACAGAUUAUAUAGAAUGGAAUGCUAUAUAUAAAGAAAAUUAUUUAUUGACAAACAAAUUCUACAAGCAGUAAAAAAAAUAUUUAAAAAAAAAAGAAAUAAGAACGCGGAGCAAGCCAAAUGCAAUCUAUUUACAAAAUAAAUUAAAUUAAAAAUAAAGUAAAAAAAAAAAACAGGAAUACCAACCGAAAAUUAAAAAUGUGGGACAGACAAAUAUAUAUAUAUAUAUAUGAAUGUAUGUAUGUGUGAAGAAAAAGACAUGGUUUAGGCCAAUCUUUUGGGUAUUUUGGCAUCAAAAUAUGGCCAAAAGCCACAAAACAGUAAAAAUAUUUUUCGAUGUAAGCUGUUUGUUAGAAAAGGAUCGACUAUGGGCGAACAAAAGAGAUGGCUAUACCAAAGUUAAUCAUUUCAAUAAAAAAAAAUCGAAACAAA